GGCCGGAGGGCAGGGCAAGCGGCCGCCCAAGCUGGGGCAGAUCGGCCGCAGCAAGAGAGUGGUUAUUGAAGACGACAGAAUUGACGAUGUGCUGCAAAACCUCUCCGAGAAGGCCCCUCCGGGUGUUUGAAGCCUCCCCGGGGACGCCGAGCUGAAGCCCGGGGUGGGGUUCGGUUUACAAUGGCACAGGUGAUCGGCAAAAAAAUAAAUCCCCCUCCUCAAAACACCGCAGCGACCACCCGAGCUCCGGGAGCAUCGUCCAGCCGCAGCCCUGCCCUCCGGAGCAGGAGGGGAGGGCGGCGAGCGAGCCACAGCCCAGCCGAGAAUCCAAAAAUAAUAAUAAAUUCAAAUAUAUAUAUAUAUAUAUAUAUGUGUGUAAUCGGGGGAAAAUAAAUCACCUGCUUCAAACCACCCCCCUCUUCACCCCGAGGGAUGGACGGAGGAGAAACGCCGCGGCUGGGAAUUACUCGGGAUGGUUUUUUCUCGGGCUGAUGAACCUUGUGCCGAGCUAGAUCGGGGGGUAAGAGGACAAAAAAAAAAUAAGGGGGCAGCGAGAGAUGGGAGGGGAACAGCCCCUGGGGUCUCCCUCCGGUCAGGGUUGUUCCCAGAGGGCACCUUGUUUACAUUAUUUAAUCUUGCAAAAAUGAAUCCGUGCACUUGGAUGUACCACGCUAUCCCCUUCUGUACGAGUUUCUUUUCUUUUUUUUUCUUAUUUAUUUUAUUUUAUUUUAUUUUUUUUUUAUGUUGAUGUCUUUGGAUGUUGGGAAAUUAUAUAAAAUAGAUAUAUAUAGAUAUAUAUAUAUUUAAUUUUAGUCACGUUUUAAGGUUCUAGAGGGGGGAAAACCAAAACUUUUAUAAAGGGAAGGCCUGAAGGAAGAAUUGCUGGUUUAUUUUUUAAAGCUUGUACUUCUUGGUUGCUGUGAGCAAAGGGACAGAUUUUAUAUGUACAGGGGGGUGGGGGACAACGCUCAGCUUUUCUAACUACCAUGCAGUCUGUAGUGUGGGUGAUCUUGAUUUGGUUUUUUCUUUUUUUUCCUUAUAUUGUGGCAGUUUCCUCUCUUUAAUAGACUGUAUUAAAACAUAUAUAUAAAAGAAAUUAUUUAAUGUAAUCACAAGAGUGCCAAACACUUGGAGAUGCUGGAGGGCAGCGAUUCCCUCCCCGAGACGAGCAGCACUCGGAGCUUUCUGCUCUUUCUAAGGCUCAGUCGAUCUCUCGUGGGGUUUUCUCUGACUUCUCUUUUCUAAUCUUUCUUUUUAACUAUUUUGCAUGAUGUGCAUAAAACAAAAAAAAAAAGGGGAAAAAAAAGAAAGGUGUGGGGUGGGGGGAAAACAAAAAGCGCUUCUGGCGCCCGGGCUUGGUUCUUGUUUCUGUUUGCGAUUGACUGACAGACCUCAAGGCAGGUUUUUCUUUCCUCCUUUUCUUAAAUAUUGUGUAUGUUGCACUUUUAUCCACUACACAGGGCUAUUUCUGCAAUGUCCGAAUAAAAAGGAAAAUGAAACAAAACGGAAAAAAAAAUAUAAUAAUAAUAAUAAUAAUUCUAAAUGCGGAUCUGCCGUGUUUUCCCGUGAGAAUCCCUCCCCUGUCCACCCAAAAAAACCCCAAAAUAACCAAGGGAAAACCUCCCCACUCUCUGGCAUAGCCCCCUGUUCAUGCUGAAUAAUUAAUUGUAAUUGAUAUUUAUUUGUGGGAUAUUUUUGUUGUUGUUGUUUAAUGGGAAAAUGCUUCCAAUUUAAUGGAAAAAUUCAACGUUGGGUCCUGAGGAUGGGGAAUAAAAGGUGGUUUCCCCUUCACUGAUGGGAAAAGCUGUGGAAAA